GAGUGUUGUGGGGUAACGCAUGCAGUGCCUAAAGUGCAUCAUGGACCUGGAAUGGAAUAACUGUGGAUGCACCUACUUUGAGUAGGGUUGAUCUCCCGAAAGAAAAGAAAAGGAAAUUGAGAUUAAAUUAAGACAAACUAGCUGAUCCGAAUUAAAGGAGAAAGACAAAAUAGAAAUGUGUAUGUGGUCUCAAGAAAGAUUAUCGUCUUAAAGGGAAAAGGCAUCGCGACGGAGCGCUGUUUCGUAAACAGAGUUGACUUGAACCAUACAUCUGCCUUCGAAGUGAAUGUCCCAGUAUUGAGACAUUGAUGAAAACUCUAAGGAAAGGACAGUUCUUUGUAAAGGUGCUACCGGUUCUAAAUCGGAAGAGAGCGAGAGGGAGCACUUCUGAAAAUGCUGGUCGAAAAAGAUUGAAAAUUAGUAAAGACGUUCCUGUUUGACAGUGUGACCAUGGUCUGUAAUCCGUAACCAAAAAAUAAUACAUAUAUAACACGUGAGGUUUAUCACAGUGUGGAGACAAAAUGCCCCCACUGACUGCCUCCUCUCUGGCCAGGUGGACACUUGAGCCUGUUGUAAAGUCUGCCAGAGAGACGCGGUCAACCCUGCCAAGUGUCUCUCCAGAGGUGAGAGCAGCGUGCGUGUGACCCUCACCUUCCCUUGUCUCCGGGCGAGGUCCUUCGCGCCCUCGCCGGCACCCAGCCAACCGCCAUCCUCUCCUCCGUCACCACUUGGCAUCGACGCUUAUUGUCUCUGGGCCUGGCCGUCACCGCUGCCAACUCUAUACAUGGAAACACUCAAGGUGACGGCAGAGUCGAGUCAGCCCUCCGGUCUCCUCGAGGUCCGUCGCCGUCUUGGCCGCAAAGAGGCGCUUUUCAGCAAAAUGACUAGCUUACCAUCCAUCUCACCACUGGUGCCAAUGUCACUGAACGAUUGCUUUGUUCCUAACUGUUAAGUUGUUACCGAACACCUAGUUAUUCUCAGCGCCAGUUUGCUGGCGAGCACCGGUUUAAUAUAUGAUAAUUGAGACCUUCCAUCUCUUUUCCGCGAAUGGGUUACACUUCUGGUUUCUUGCAAGGGUUUAACUCGAGCUGCAGAUCGUGCUGGCUUGCACUGAUUUUAAAAACAACCCCAUCAUUCCUGCUCCGUGAAUCCCUAGCUGCCGUAGGGUCAAAGGUGGAUUUCAUCCAACCCGCUUCAAGUUGCAGCUUAUUGCACCGCCAUCAACUGCUAUGAUUAUCACCAAACCUGGAUUUUUCUCGUGUCAUAUUAACAUUAUUAAACCUUCACCAGGCACCUCAGGAACCUUAACUCCCACAUGCCACCAGGAUCACGUGCUGGACUCAUCACUCCAAUCUGAGUAUUAUCGCCUUGCCUAAAGAAGACUGCUUUCCAAGUAUUAUCCCCAUCGGCCUGCUUCAAGUCCCAGGGUCUCACCAAAGAACCGGCUUUCUCGCUGCAUUUCCAAGCUCUCCAUCUCCUCCUUGCAACACAUCAUCAAGGCUCAAGACUCCAUGCCACCAUCUGCGACUCUCCGUUGAGACGAGCCGAGCGUUCUACUUCCACACCGACACUUCAACUCUUGUGAUGUUUGGGCUUCCAUUUAAGAACAGUGUAUAAUCUCAUUUAGAUACAAAUAUAUCUGUUUGUGAACGGGGAAACUCGAGCGGCCUUGGUCAACCCUUAUAACGGUAUUCCUCACACGUGAGCCUUUAGAUUUAUAUGAUAUUAUAAUAAUAAAAAAAACAAAAACAAAUUGUAUAUAAGAACACGCCAUCUCUGCGGUGUUGGGUCGCCAAGCUCCAGAGUAGGUCCAGUGGAAAAGGGAAAGGGAGCUGGAACACCCGUGCUGGACGCCCCCCCACCCCCCCUUCUUCAUCUCCACUGGGACGUGAAGGUCUAACGAGUCCUGUGAUCCUGUGUUCCAUGGCGUUGCGAGAGGGCCUUUUCGGUGGUCCUCGAGUGUGCAUCACGAGGGCCUUCAACUUACCUGUGUUCUUUUAAAGAUUGCUUCGGAUGGAACGACCUCGAGAUCAGCACUGAUAAGAGGAAGUGUGACGAGACUUAUCAUUGCGGUUGAUAACUCGGACCAUCAGACAGGCAGUUUUAUAUGCGUGCAAAGGAGACCUCCGUACAGACAGAGUGGUCCAUUGAAGCGUCCAGCUGGAACCGCCUGGAAUGCUGUGUUAAGUGACGACGGUAAAUCGGUGUUUCAAUAUCAAGUGUUGAAGUGGCCUUACGCGAGGGAGAUCGUAGACUCCACUUUUUUUUCCCUGAGCAAUAAAUACUCUCUUUCGUAAAGAGAAAAAGGAAAAGAGAGAUUCAGAAUGCAACGCUUAAGAUUGGCUAUUAUCAGGCAAAGCGAGUCGCCAAGAGCAUAGGAGUGUGUGUGUGUGUGUACGUGUGUGUGUUCCAGCGCAGGUAAAGUACAACCUUCCCAGAUGCGAUAAAGAUGGCAGGUUCAUGUCUCUGUUUACUCGUGGAACGGCAUGCCUUACCCCGGAUCUCGCGAUGCCUUGCUAGCGUGAGGGGACCUCCUGCACCACAGUGAUAAUAACAAAGAAAAAAAAGAAGUCAAGUCACGCCAACACCUCUCAUUCCCCUAAGAGCGUUCCUUAAUUAAAAGCCACACCUCUUCUACACCGGGGAUUUGAAACAAUAAUAAAAGAAACAAGUGGACACUAUUCAGAGUAAAAAAAAAACAAAGAAACAGAAAAAAAAUCCAACGGGAUAAAAAAAAACAAAAAAAAAAACACAUAUUUGUGUCAGCAUCAGCAUCCAGACCAUCAGCUCCGUCAGCCUCUUCGUCGUCAGCCUCGCCUUCUGCUCCUGCGCCCAACGCGGGGUCCAGCGCGAGAAUGGACGUAGACCUGGGUCCUGUGGUUACCAGCUUACUCUUACUUAUCCUGCUCGUGUUCGUGGGAGGCAGACAGGUCUCGUCUGAACCAUGCGAGGUCAACCAGAUAUAGUA
rnacentral:lncRNA from 1 species